CUCAGAUGCUCAAGCCACUGCCUCUUCCUGCUGCCUGGGGAUCCAGAUGUAGAACUCUCAGCUCCUUAUCCAGCACCAUUCUGCCUGCGUGCAUCCAUGCUUCCUGCUAUGAAGAUAAUGGACUAAACCUCUGAACCUGUAAACCAGCCCCAUAUUCACAGUAACGUGGAACAUAGUAACAUAGUGACAUGGGAUACCUGAGCCCUUAUCUAUUGGCACAUAAGUAUUUCUACACAGGCUGUGCUGGAGAAGAAAAAGAAGGUUCCUGCUGUGCCAGAAACCCUUAAGAAAAAGUGAAGGAUGGCGACGAAAGCUGGAAACUUCUAUGUGCCUGUAGAACCCAAGCUGGCAUUUGUUAUCCGAAUCCGAGGUAUCAAUGGUGUAAACCCGAAGUCUGCAAGGUGUUACAGCUGCUCUGUCUUUGUCAGAUCUUCAAUGGCAGCUUUGUUAAGCUCAACAAGGCUUCAAUUAACAUGCUGAGGAUUGUGGAACCAUACAUUGCAUGGGGAUACCCCAACCUGAAGUCAUUAAACGAGCUCAUCUACAAGCAGGUCUAUGGCAAAAUCAGUAAGAAGAGAAUUGCCUUGACAGACAAUUCCUUGAUUGCUUGAUCUCUUGGUAAUUACGGCAUCAUCUGCAUGGAGGAUCUAAUUCAUGAGAUCUAUACAGUUGGAAAACGCUUUAAGAAAGCAAAUAACUUCUUGUGGCCCUUUAAAUGAUCUCCACGAAGUGGAAUGAAGAAAAAGACAACUCAUUUUGUGCAAGGUGACAAUACUGGCAACAGGGAAGACCAGAUAAACAGGCUUAUUAGAUGUAUGAACUAAGUUGUUGCCCAUGGUAUUUUUG
rnacentral:lncRNA from 1 species